UGUAACUUCGAACGCCGACAUGCCACAC
rnacentral:sRNA from 1 species